GUCAACGUGGCCGAGUGGUUAAGGCGCGACACUCGAAUCACGUACUCGACGAUGCUAUGUCGUCUCUUCGGAGGCGCAGGUUCGAAUCCUGCCGUUGACG